rfam:Lingula anatina scaffold136, whole genome shotgun sequence.
GGACCUGUGGUGUACUGGUAACAUGUCUCCCUGUCCAGGAGAAGAUAGCGAGUUCGAUCCUCGUCAGGUCCG